GAGAAUAGUGGUAAUCAUAAAAUUUUAGUGAUAUUUCUUGAAUGGUAUUGGAUGCAUGUUGAUGCAAAUGUUAGGGUGAUGGCAUAUGUUUCAUGACAAAUGGAAUCUCAUAAGAUGAAUUACCCUACUGGUGAUUUGGAAGUCACGAUUAUCAUCCUUGCUGUGAAGUUAUGGAGACAUUAUAUGUUGAUAAGAAUGCAAGAUUUUACAAAUCAAAAGAGUCUCCAAUAUUUGUUUACUUGGAAGGAUUUUGAUAUGAGGCAACAAAGGUGAAUUGAAUUACUUAGUGAUUAUGAUUGUACGAUCAGGGUGAUCGUGAAUUGUUGUAGCUGAAGCACUUGAUAAGAAGACUACAGUAAGAUUAAUGUCUGGCACGCUUGCCAAAAAAAAAAAAAAAAAAAAAAAAUUCUUGUUGUGGAUUGGAAACCAACUAAAGUAAAGUUCAGAAAUGGAAAGAUAUUACUUUGGAUUAUGUGUACAAGUUUUCUUGUACAUAAGAUGGUUAUGAUCGAAUUUGAGGUGUUGAUUGGUCAAUGUACUAAGUUAGUACAUUUACUCCAGUGUUGAGUAACAGUACUUAUUUGUUUUAUGGAAAAGAGAAUUGGAUUACGGAACUGCUAAGUUUCUUAAGUAUGUUGGUUGUGCAGUUUCCGAAGUAACGCCAUAGGGUCCCUGAAGCGUGUCGUGUGAAUGAAAUGCUUCUGAAUAGAGAAAGAUUCGAUCAAGAAAGAGUUUUAGUAGACCCUGAGACUAUGGAUGAGUCUCCUCAAAGUAUUCAGGUGAUUAAGUUAACCUGAAGUAACCAGGAAUGGCAAAAGAGACUAACAGAUGGAUAUGCCACUAAUCGAGUGUGUAAGGUAAAUGGUUUGAUAUUUUUGGAAAUUUCACCAUGAACAGAAAUAGUAAGAUUUAGAAAGGAAGACAAGAUAAGUCUUGAACACAUCAGUCCGUUUUGAUCACUAAAGGAAUCAAUAAAGUUGCAUACAAGUGGUGAUGUCUUCAGAGUUGGCUAAGAUACUUAAUGUAUUUUGGGUUCGAUACGUUGUCACUAGGUGGCAGAUUCGUCACAUGAGAUUCUGGUGCAACUAUUGAGAAUUAAGCGGGAUCUAAUUGAUAAGGAACUAAGGACGAUUUUGGAUUGGAGAAAGGAAGUCCCGAGAGUUAAGAAAGAGUAAGUGGUAAAGGAUUUGUGAAGAAAUCAUUCAGUAGAAGAAAUUACGUGGAAGAACGGAUGAGAGAGAUCUACCCGAGACUAUUGUAUGGGUAUAGAUGUUUCAGUAAGGUUGAUUUAGUUGGUUGUUGGAAUUUCGGGGACGAAAUUCUAUAAGGAGGGAAGAUUGUCACAGCCCGUCCCAAGAUUAGUAUUUUCUUAAGUGUGAACUUAGUUAAAUUACCCUAGUUUAAAGUUAGAUGGACUUUGAGGUUUUGGAGGUUUGUGAUGAAUGAUUGAGGACUUAGACCCUACACACUCACGGAUCCAAGUCAUUUCCCAUUCUCCGUGAAUUGCUCUACCUUUCAAACCUGUCAAGCACUUUCUCUCUCUCAUCCGUGUACCACUCCCUCUCUCUCUAUUCCCUCGACAAGUUUCACUCACCCUCAUUCUCUCUCAAUACACAGACAACACUCGAAAACCUUCAAACCUUUACAGAUCGAGAUCAUGGAGAGUACGGUGGUGUUCCUGAGGUCCUUAUGAUUUUAACCACAUAGCUUUCAAAUCCUGGAACCUUCGAAAACCCGAGAAAAGCCGUAACCCGAUUUGAGUACACAAUCACUUCGACGUGAUCUUGGAAGUUUCAAGCCAGUUUAAGACUCCCAAAGGAUCAUAGGGAGCUUUAGAAUGUUCUCACGAUGCUCGGAGUGCAUCGUUGGUAAGAAAAGGAUCACGGGAAGCUCAGUUACGAAGUUUUACAGAGGUCGCCGGAGUUUCAAAGUUCCCCGACGUAAUUUCAUGCAAUUUGAAGUUUCAAACAGGCGGCGAUCGUCGUGACGCCUUGAUGUGUGGUGCUAGGGAGUUGUUGGACGAACUCCAGGU